rnacentral:misc_RNA from 1 species
UCCGGUUUAGACCGGCGGUCUCCCUAGAGAUGUCAAUCUACAUUUAAGCCUUGGUAAGGUUCCUCGCGUAUCAUCGAAUUAAACCACAUGCUCCACCGCUUGUGCGGGCCCCCGUCAAUUCCUUUGAGUUUCAUUCUUGCGAACGUACUCCCCAGGUGGGAUACUUAUCACUUUCGCUUAGCCACUCAGAUUGCUCCGAACAGCUAGUAUCCAUCGUUUACGGCGUGGACUAC